rnacentral:rRNA from 5 species
CCUGGCUGCAGUAGCGCGGUGGUCCCACCUGACCCCAUGCCGAACUCAGAAGUGAAACGCCGUAGCGCCGAUGGUAGUGUGGGGUCUCCCCAUGCGAGAGUAGGGAACUGCCAGGC